rnacentral:rRNA from 1 species
GACGAACGCUGGCGGCGUGCUUAACACAUGCAAGUCGAACGGACCCUUUGGGGUUAGUGGCGAACGGGUGAGUAACACGUGGGUGAUCUGCCCUGCACUUUGGGAUAAGCCUGGGAAACUGGGUCUAAUACCGGAUAGGACUACGCACUGCAUGGUGUGUGGUGGAAAGCUUUUGCGGUGUGGGAUGGGCCCGCGGCCUAUCAGCUUGUUGGUGGGGUGAUGGCCUACCAAGGCGACGACGGGUAGCCGGCCUGAGAGGGUGACCGGCCACACUGGGACUGAGAUACGGCCCAGACUCCUACGGGAGGCAGCAGUGGGGAAUAUUGCACAAUGGGCGCAAGCCUGAUGCAGCGACGCCGCGUGAGGGAUGACGGCCUUCGGGUUGUAAACCUCUUUCGCCAGGGACGAAGCGCAAGUGACGGUACCUGGAGAAGAAGGACCGGCCAACUACGUGCCAGCAGCCGCGGUAAUACGUAGGGUCCGAGCGUUGUCCGGAAUUACUGGGCGUAAAGAGCUCGUAGGUGGUUUGUCGCGUUGUUCUUGAAAACUCACAGCUUAACUGUGGGCGUGCGGGCGAUACGGGCAGACUGGAGUACUGCAGGGGAGACUGGAAUUCCUGGUGUAGCGGUGGAAUGCGCAGAUAUCAGGAGGAACACCGGUGGCGAAGGCGGGUCUCUGGGCAGUAACUGACGCUGAGGAGCGAAAGCGUGGGGAGCGAACAGGAUUAGAUACCCUGGUAGUCCACGCCGUAAACGGUGGGUACUAGGUGUGGGUUUCCUUCCUUGGGAUCCGUGCCGUAGCUAACGCAUUAAGUACCCCGCCUGGGGAGUACGGCCGCAAGGCUAAAACUCAAAGGAAUUGACGGGGGCCCGCACAAGCGGCGGAGCAUGUGGAUUAAUUCGAUGCAACGCGAAGAACCUUACCUGGGUUUGACAUGCACAGGACGCCGGCAGAGAUGUCGGUUCCCUUGUGGCCUGUGUGCAGGUGGUGCAUGGCUGUCGUCAGCUCGUGUCGUGAGAUGUUGGGUUAAGUCCCGCAACGAGCGCAACCCUUGUCUCAUGUUGCCAGCACGUUAUGGUGGGGACUCGUGAGAGACUGCCGGGGUCAACUCGGAGGAAGGUGGGGAUGACGUCAAGUCAUCAUGCCCCUUAUGUCCAGGGCUUCACACAUGCUACAAUGGCCGGUACAAAGGGCUGCGAUGCCGUGAGGUGGAGCGAAUCCUUUCAAAGCCGGUCUCAGUUCGGAUCGGGGUCUGCAACUCGACCCCGUGAAGUCGGAGUCGCUAGUAAUCGCAGAUCAGCAACGCUGCGGUGAAUACGUUCCCGGGCCU